AUCGUCCCAAAUAGGACGAAACGCGCGUCUUGGAU
rnacentral:hammerhead_ribozyme from 1 species